rnacentral:rRNA from 10 species
GUUAAGUGACGAAGCGUAUACGGUGGAUGCCUUGGCAGUUAGAGGCGAUGAAGGACGUGUAAGUCUGCGAAAAGCUGUGGUGAGCCGACAAAAUGCAUUUGAGCCACAGAUGUCCGAAUGGGGAAACCCACCUGUUUACAGGUAUCGUUAACUGAAUACAUAGGUUAACGAGGCAAACGAGGGGAACUGAAACAUCUAAGUACCCUUAGGAAAAGAAAUCAACCGAGAUUCCCCUAGUAGCGGCGAGCGAACGGGGAGCAGCCCUUAAGCUGUUUAGAAUUUAGUGGAAUCCUUUGGGAAGAGGAGCGAUACAAGGUGAUAGCCCUGUACACGACGGAUUCUUUACAGUGAAAUCGAGUAGGUCGGGACACGUGUUAUCUUGACUGAAUAUGGGGGGACCAUCCUCCAAGGCUAAAUACUCCUAACUGACCGAUAGUGAACCAGUACCGUGAGGGAAAGGCGAAAAGAACCCCUGUGAGGGGAGUGAAAUAGAACCUGAAACCGUAUACGUACAAGCAGUGGGAGCCACUUCGUGUGGUGACUGCGUACCUUUUGUAUAAUGGGUCAGCGACUUAUAUUUAGUAGCAAGGUUAAGUGAAUAACGGAGCCGUAGCGAAAGCGAGUGUUAACUGCGCGUUUAGUUGCUAGGUAUAGACCCGAAACCCGGUGAUCUAGCCAUGAGCAGGUUGAAGGUUGAGUAACAUCAACUGGAGGACCGAACCCACUAACGUUGAAAAGUUAGGGGAUGACCUGUGGCUGGGGGUGAAAGGCCAAUCAAACCGGGAGA